CCCUCAGACUUCUGCUGUGCCAGCAGAACCAGCAUUGCUCUGAGCUCUGCGUGGCUUUUUCUCUCGUGCAAUUGCAGCAGAAGUACUCCUCAUUUCUGAAGUGGAGCAGGCAGACACACAAGUGUCCUAACACUGUGCUGAAUCACACCUCCAAAUCCCUCAAGCAUCAUUAUUACCAUGCCAGGGGACUGCAGCUAUCCUGAAGGUCUCUGAAGCAUUCUCUUGGAAAACAACCAACAGCUCUCCCACAUCUCAUUGCUGGUGAUAGCAUUGGAAAAGGGGAAACCAUGCCAUAAACACAACCCUCAGUAACGGCCACCUCAAAGCACAGCAGCACAGAUUUCCUCCUAGGUGGGUGGUGGAACAGGGAAAGGAGAAGGACCGCCAAGUUGGACACUGCACAAAACCAGCACGAAGGACGUGGCGAGGCGUUUCCCACUUGAAAAGCAAACAAGGAAGAUCUCAUGCCUUUGCAUCUGUGUCAGCAUGACGGGACUGCCCCUGGCUGAACAAGUUGCCAGCCCCUGACAAUUAUAGCCCUGGUAAUCCACAUCAUCCAAGGAAUGAGGAACCUUUGGGUUGAGUAACCCAAAGCACCUGAAACUGAGAUCCCAACAGGGACACUCAGAGGGAGAUCUGCUAUCCAAAUCUGAGCCUUAGCAGCACUGAACAUCAGCAGCGCUUCAGGAAAGGUGAAAUGGGACUGAGGAGAGCAGUAGCUCUCCACCCCCUCGUUGGGCAAAGAAGGAAUAUCAAUGUUGUGAUUUGUCCAGCCUGCCCUAAGAUAUGCUGAUAUGUUCAAUCCCAGAAGCUCAUAGGAGGCUCUCAAAUGGGUUUGGAGCAAGUUCUGGACAUCUUGGUUUCAGACACCAAGUCACAGAGAACCAUCAACACUCCCCUCAGGCACCCAAAUGCUUUGUGCAAUCCAUGGGAAGUGAAGUGUCUGCAGUGAUUUUGCAUUACUACUGGAGGACCCCGUUUUCAGGAUAUGAGUGGUAGCGGCCUUAAGUUGGGCCUGGGGAGGGUCACCUUGGAUAUUAGGAAACAUUUCUUCCCUGAAAGAGUAAUGGUGCAUUGGCACAGGUUGCCUAGGAAUGUGGUGGAGUCACCAUCCCUGGAGUUGUUCAAGAAUGGUGGGGAUGUGGCAAUGAGGGAUGUGCUCAGUGAGCAUGUUGGGGGUGGACUGGGGUUGGACUUUGGGGUCUUAGUGGUCUUUUCCAACCUUAAUAAUGAUAUGUUUAUAUUAUUCUAAAGACUGGUUGUUGUUUGAGAAAUUCGUGCACAAGGAAAUAGCAGGCUCUGCAGGGUGCAUGCCAUGGUGUCACCAUGGGCCAGGGCCUGGUGACAAUGCCAGCAGGCACGUGGAGUGCUAUGGACAGCACUCACCAUUGCUAAUGAUCCUGGGCAUUUGAAACCAUGAAAACCUGUCAUCCUAGCAUCAAGAAAACUCCCUUUCCAGCAAAUUACACAGAUAAAAAAGAUGUGUCUCUGCACAAGUGACCACAUACAGAGUGUGACUGCUUCAGCACAUCAAUUUGUCACAAGUGUCUGCUCAGGAGAGCAAUGAGUCCACAGCAAAGUCCAUGUGCCAUUGCUUAUGUCGUGAUCUAGGUGAGGUAGAGUCUGCAUGUGGGGAAGGUGCUUUUUCAUCACUGUGUGUUCGGGUGGUGAGUGAUUCUUUGGUGAGCUCUUUAAACAACAUUUUGCUUCUGUUUCCUGCAGCAAUGUAUAUGAACUAGAAGAUAAAUGUAAUUCACACGUGGAAAACAACAAUCAGUAUGUAUGCACUUCAGGACAAGCCCUGGGAAAUAAGGAGCUUCAUCUGCAGAGGGGGAGGCAGAACUCUCCUUAGGAAGACAUUUUGAAGUGUUUCUUGCUGUUCCUAUGUUCCGUGGGAGUUCAGGCAGCAGACUCCACACCCUUCUCUCCUGAUGGCAAACGUGCAUCUUUCAGCAACAUUGGCUUCGAGUUUUAAAUAUACCAGUUGGAUAUGCCAUCUGAAGUUAUCUCACAUUUGAGUAUAUUAGUAUUUUUAGUUACUCAUUCACAUGUCUGGCAUCCAAAGUUAUGCUGGGGUCUGCUGAAAGCAUUAUCUCAGGAGUGCAUGGUGCAGAGUCCAGCCCUGGUGGGGUGUUGCAUCACCCAAGCUCUCCACCAGGCUCCUGCUACAGCCAGCAGAGGCGACCACAGGCAGAGCAGAAUGGAAGACUUGCUCAGGUCCUUGGGCAGUCCUUCAGGAGAAUCGCUGUUAUUUCUGGAGUGCAAAGGGAGCAAGCACUGAGCUGACCAACUGGGAUGGGAGAGGAUGGAGAGGGGCAAAUGUGUCGGUGGGAUGUAAGAUGAGAACAAACUGGGCAGUUUAGACUGGUCAUCGGUGGUUUGGUCCUAAAUGUUCACUCACAGUCUUCUACUGAGUCGACAAGAGAGAUCUUUUGAGGAUACAGUGGAGAUUGCAAAUGAUGUACUAAUUUAAUAUCUCUCAUCAUGAUUCUUCGUCUUCACCCAGCAGCUGGGACAGGGCACAUUUUGAGCUCAAUUUUACUAGGCUUUGAUUUGCCAUCUUUGAAUGUCCACCCCAAGGAAGAGUUUAUAACAGUGUGUGAAGCAUAUUACUGUCCAGAUCCAAUCGUGAGAGAUAGGGCUCUGGGUCCUGAUCUUGGCUUGGCCAAAGGUUUCCUUUACAACCUCACCUUUGAACCCAUCCAUGAAAUAACCCAAUUCUGUAGCUUGGUUUGCUGCCUCCGUGGUUUCCACCCAAUCCCCCAUGACACCAGGCCCAUGAGAAGUUGGCCAAGCAGCCCAUUGGAGGGUAUGCACUUCCCAUGCACCACCUUCUCCCGUGGAAAACCGAAAAUGAAAUUCUUUCAGACCUUGAGAGAAUCUCAGAUGAAAGAGAAAUACAGAAACUAGCCCAGAGGCCUGGGACAGCGUGCACAGAAAUCAUUUGUUUUUGAACUGGGUUCCACUUGUGUUUGUAGUUUCUAGCAGUGCUCCAAGACCUGGGUGUGGAGGUGGAGUUCCAAACAACAGACAUUGCUCAAAACAAAUCUUUGAGGGCUCUGCCUUUAAAGAUGGGCCCUCCAGGUCUUUAUUCCCCUUAGAGUGGGAGAGGUGACUUGGACUAAGUCUCCUGGCACUAGUCAUGUACGUACCUGUAUGUCUAUAAUCGUAGACUCAGACCAAAACACAGAAUUAUAUCAUUCUCCAC
ensembl:lncRNA